rnacentral:pre_miRNA from 2 species
UUUUAUGCAUAAGCAAAUAAAGUGGUUUCUUAACAUGGAAUCUACUCAUGAUGAAGAUGCUGUGAA